AACGAACGCUGGCGGCAUGCCUAACACAUGCAAGUCGAACGAGACCUUCGGGUCUAGUGGCGCACGGGUGCGUAACGCGUGGGAACCUGCCCUUAGGUUCGGAAUAACUCCCCGACAGGGGUGCUAAUACCGGAUAAUGUCUUCGGACCAAAGAUUUAUCGCCUUUGGAUGGGCCCGCGUUGGAUUAGCUAGUUGGUAGGGUAAAAGCCUACCAAGGCGACGAUCCAUAGCUGGUCUGAGAGGCUGGUCAGCCACACUGGGACUGGGACACGGCCCAGAAUCCUGCGGGAGGCAGCAGUGGGGAAUAUUGGAAAAUGGGCGGAAGCCUGAUCCAGCAAUGCCGGGUGAGUGAUGAAGGCCUUAGGGUUGUAAAGCUCUUUUACCCGGGAUGAUAAUGACAGUACCGGGAGAAUAAGCUCCGGCUAACUUCGUG
rnacentral:rRNA from 1 species